GCAAUUUAGCAUUAUAGCAAAUGUAUCAAAGCAAUUUAGCAUCUGCAAAAGACUCCAAAUUAACUCCUCUGUUACUGAGAGUCACCGAGACAGGGAUCCCAGCACAUCCAGCUGGAGAAACUGUAAAGCGGCAAUACCGCCGCUUCCAUCUGUCACCACACAGAGACUUGUACCACAGCCAAGACACAAACCUCUACUGCAACAGCGCCCGGCACAAACUGGAGUGUGAGCUGGUUUUUAUUAGUGCUCAGGCAAAUAAAACCACCCAGCCAAUAGAACAAAAAGAGUCACGAAAGAGAAAAGCGUCUUCCUUGUGCUCAAGGUGACCUUGGCUGCACCAGCACACACCAAAGACUUGCUUUCCUUUGGAAAAAA